CACUGGCAAGGGCAGGGUGGCAAACAUCAUCCCAGACCAGCUCCACAUCAGGCUGCUGUGCUUGUGUCAGAUACGGCUGCAGUGCUAAAUACCAGGCAUUUUCCAGCCAGGAGCUGCGCUCCUGACUCCCGCCCACACGCCUGUUGGUGCGGGUGUUUGCAGCCUGAAGUUUGCUGUUUGUUUUCACUCAGGGAUGCCCCAUCCCUGGAAGUGUCCAAGGCCGGGUUAGACGGCGCUUGGAGCAACCUGGUUGGUGGAAGGUGUCCCUGCCCACGGCAGGGCGUGGAACGAGAUGAUCCCUUUAAGAUCCCUUCCAAACUGAACGAUCCCGGCAUUCUGUGAUUGCCACCCCCAAGUGGCCUCGGCCCCUUCUCGGUUAGGAUUUAAAGGCCGUCCAAAGCAGCGGGGGACUGGCGGCUCCCGGCCCCCGUGUCCCCCGGCCGCGGUGACAGCGCUGUCCCCCCGCAGGUUCCCCGCGGCUCGCCCGUCCCCGCUGCUGUACGGGCUGCCGGCCGCGCUGGGCGGCGCCGCGCUGGGCGCGCUGUUGGCGGCGGCGCUGGGCUGCUGGCGGCGGCGGCGGAGGAAGGACGGACCUCUCUAUGAAGUUGCUUUCCGCAGAACUGCAGAUGUCGCCCUGCUGCACCCUGAGGUGGAAGUCCCUGUUAAGUGCCUACAGGAGGAAACAUGCUCUGGCACUGAAAAGACCACCAUGAAAGACAGGAAAAGCCCUGAGUAUGAGAACCUUGUGACUGCAAUGGAAUCUCAAUAUGAAACAGGAGGAAUUUUGUAAAGUACCAGCUUAUCCAUAUGAUCAGCCAUUCAGGGCUGCAGGUCCUGCCUGCAGGAGCAGAAACCCUCAGCCAACUCUACCCACUUCUAUAGAACAAAUUGUUUCUGAGCAACCUGAAGGACCCAGGGCAGGAAGAAAGGAUCUGAAGGAGCGAGAACAUGAAAUUCUUUAGCCUGUAAAUCCAGGAGUAGUUGAUGCCAUGCUGCCAGUCAGUAACACUAGCAAGGGAUACUCUCCAAUGUGUGUUCCUGUUAAGACAUCCCAGGCUGCAAGGAGCCAGGAUUGUGGUGGAAAUGGAUGUCCUCUGGAUUUUGCAGCUCAGCAAAUACUGGUUGUACAUCCUGCCUGUGCCUGAGUCUUUUUUUUUUUUUUUUUCUGUUGUUGUUGUUGUUGCAGCAUGUUAAAGGGACCUCAGAGGGGAGGUUGAUGUCCCAGGAAUGCCAUUUUUGCUAUCAGACUGGAGCUCAAUGCUCAGAGAGAGAGGGAAUGAGUCCCUGAACUAUCACCCACUAGUUUUCUCGUGAAAAACAAGAACAGAUGUUGAAGGAAAUGCUGGCAUAUAAUUUUUACAAUGUGGGGGUCAGAGGCAUGAUAAAAUAGAGGGUAAUUUUAGGCAUUUGGACAGUGAUUAAGGGACCUCUCUGAAUACAACAGGCUGACACCAAUUUACUCUGGGGGAUGCAAGUCAAUCUGUGUGAUUACUAAUGCUGACCUGUUGUGCAACAUGGACGCAAUUCCUGCCUUCAGCUGCAGUGCAUUCCCUACAGUACACUGUCACUCAGCAGCCUGAUUUGCC
rnacentral:lncRNA from 1 species